GUGGGGAAUUUUGGACAAUGGGCGCAAGCCUGAUCCAGCAAUGCCGCGUGCAGGAAGAAGGCCUUCGGGUUGUAAACUGCUUUUGUACGGAACGAAACGGUCCGGGUUAAUACCCUGGGCUAAUGACGGUACCGUAAGAAUAAGCACCGGCUAACUACGUGCCAGCAGCCGCGGUAAUACGUAGGGUGCAAGCGUUAAUCGGAAUUACUGGGCGUAAAGCGUGCGCAGGCGGUUUUGUAAGAUAGGCGUGAAAUCCCCGGGCUCAACCUGGGAAUUGCGCUUGUGACUGCGAGGCUGGAGUGCGGCAGAGGGGGAUGGAAUUCCGCGUGUAGCAGUGAAAUGCGUAGAUAUGCGGAGGAACACCGAUGGCGAAGGCAAUCCCCUGGGCCUGCACUGACGCUCAUGCACGAAAGCGUGGGGAGCAAACAGGAUUAGAUACCCCUGUAGUCC
rnacentral:rRNA from 1 species